rnacentral:rRNA from 1 species
GAUAAACGCUGGCGGCGUGCCUAAUACAUGCAAGUCGAGCGAACGGACGAGAAGCUUGCUUCUCUGAUGUUAGCGGCGGACGGGUGAGUAACACGUGGAUAACCUACCUAUAAGACUGGGAUAACUUCGGGAAACCGGAGCUAAUACCGGAUAAUAUUUUGAACCGCAUGGUUCAAAAGUGAAAGACGGUCUUGCUGUCACUUAUAGAUGGAUCCGCGCUGCAUUAGCUAGUUGGUAAGGUAACGGCUUACCAAGGCAACGAUGCAUAGCCGACCUGAGAGGGUGAUCGGCCACACUGGAACUGAGACACGGUCCAGACUCCUACGGGAGGCAGCAGUAGGGAAUCUUCCGCAAUGGGCGAAAGCCUGACGGAGCAACGCCGCGUGAGUGAUGAAGGUCUUCGGAUCGUNAAACUCUGUUAUUAGGGAAGAACAUAUGUGUAAGUAACUGUGCACAUCUUGACGGUACCUAAUCAGAAAGCCACGGCUAACUACGUGCCAGCAGCCGCGGGUAUACGUAGGUGGCAAGCGUUAUCCGAAUUAUUGGGCGUAAAGCGCGCGUAGCGGUUUUUUAGUCUGAUGUGAAAGCCCACGGCUCAACCGUGGAGGGUCAUUGGAAACUGGAAAACUUGAGUGCAGAAGAGGAAAGUGGAAUUCCAUGUGUAGCGGUGAAAUGCGCAGAGAUAUGGAGGAACACCAGUGGCGAAGGCGACUUUCUGGUCUGUAACUGACGCUGAUGUGCGAAAGCGUGGGGAUCAAACAGGAUUAGAUACCCUGGUAGUCCACGCCGUAAACGAUGAGUGCUAAGUGUUAGGGGGUUUCCGCCCCUUAGUGCUGCAGCUAACGCAUUAAGCACUCCGCCUGGGGAGUACGACCGCAAGGUUGAAACUCAAAGGAAUUGACGGGGACCCGCACAAGCGGUGGAGCAUGUGGUUUAAUUCGAAGCAACGCGAAGAACCUUACCAAAUCUUGACAUCCUUUGACAACUCUAGAGAUAGAGCCUUCCCCUUCGGGGGACAAAGUGACAGGUGGUGCAUGGUUGUCGUCAGCUCGUGUCGUGAGAUGUUGGGUUAAGUCCCGCAACGAGCGCAACCCUUAAGCUUAGUUGCCAUCAUUAAGUUGGGCACUCUAAGUUGACUGCCGGUGACAAACCGGAGGAAGGUGGGGAUGACGUCAAAUCAUCAUGCCCCUUAUGAUUUGGGCUACACACGUGCUACAAUGGACAAUACAAAGGGCAGCGAAACCGCGAGGUCAAGCAAAUCCCAUAAAGUUGUUCUCAGUUCGGAUUGUAGUCUGCAACUCGACUACAUGAAGCUGGAAUCGCUAGUAAUCGUAGAUCAGCAUGCUACGGUGAAUACGUUCCCGGGUCU